rnacentral:rRNA from 1 species
AUUGAACGCUGGCGGCAGGCCUAACACAUGCAAGUCGAGCGAGCGGCGGACGGGUGAGUAAUGUCUGGGGAACUGCCUGAUGGAGGGGGAUAACUACUGGAAACGGUGGCUAAUACCGCAUACUAUCGGAUGAACCCAGAUGGGAUUAGCUAGUAGGUGGGGUAAAGGCUCACCUAGGCGACGAUCCCUAGCUGGUCUGCGAGGAUGACCAGCCACACUGGAACUGAGACACGGUCCAGACUCCUACGGGGGGCAGCAGUGGGGAAUAUUGCACAAUGGGCGCAAGCCUGAUGCAGCCAUGCCGCGUGUGUGAAGAAGGCCUUCGGGUUGUAAAGCACUUUCAGCGAGGAGGCGUUACUCGCAGAAGAAGCACCGGCUAACUCCGUGCCAGCAGCCGCGGUAAUAC